GAUUGUUACUCUUAUAUCCAUGUGUAGAAACAAUACGAUCAUAAAACCAUAAUAGAUCUAUGAAUUAUAACAAUUGAAGCUUGAACUAAUGGUGUAAAAACAGAAGCCGCAAAAAGGUUAUAACUCUAAAACAAAGGAAAAAAAAAAAAGAUUAAAAAUAGCUAUCACCAUGAUAGAAAGGAUAUAGUAAAAAAUAUAAUGACAACAAUGUCUGGAAUAUUUUUCUUAUUUUAUAGGAAAAAAAGAAUGAAACCAAUGCCUAUUUGGUAUUAACUCAUUUGAGUAGUUUUACUUUUUAUUUUUACUUUGCUAACAAUGCUUGCAGGAUAAAGGUAAAAAAAUAAUGAAGCUUUGUUAUAUGUAGUUUAGAUAAUUAAUUUGCUUAUUUACAGUAUGAUUAUUCAAAAGCAUUUAAUUUGCAGGUAUUGAACCUAACCAAAGCAUAUGUUGAAGGGCUAGGAGAAGGUGGUUUUGGAUAAGUUUUUAAGGGGUGGAUCAAUGAGAAUUCAUUGACUGCUACCAAACUUGGCACUAGCAUUGUUAUUGCUAUUAAAAGACUCAAUCAAGAUGGUAUCCAGGGUCAUAGGGAGUGAUCCGGGAGGACCUUAUUUAUGGAAUUUGUGAAGCCGUAGAUGCAGAAAAGGAUCCAGAUUGUUUAAAGCUUGCUUUUCAUACUGUUAAGUCUUUGUCACAAUUAUAUCCAGAUUCAUCUGGUCUACUUGCAAACUUUGCUAAAGAUGUUUUUGAUAUUUUAGAACCUUACUUUCCCAUUCACUUUAUACAUGUAAGCUUAAUCUUUCA